CUCAAUAAUAAAGCUAAAAAUCAUCUCUGCAGAAUUGCUAGUGACACUCCCAAAUUGAAGCACCAAGUCAACUCCACCCAAUAAUUCAGCAUAGGGCUAUAACACUUCAGUCUUGAUUUUCUCCCUAAUUUACACCUUGAUUGUCAAAAGGGGGAAGAAAGUCUGAAAUAAAUUCUUCAUUGAUCAUAUUAUUUGUGAGAUUGGCAGCAUUAAAUGGUGGGAUUUGACUCGUCGAUUGAUUGAAAUCAACAGUAGGCCGAUAGGCGAGUUCCUGAU
rnacentral:lncRNA from 1 species